CUGUCAGAAAUGCAUGGCAGGCUCUCUAUAUUUUAACACACAUCACUUGUGACUGGCAAGCUAACAUCACAUGGAAAUCACAAUUGAUGUGACGAUAUCGGCCGGCCUGUUUUAUUUCAUGUAUUAAUUUAUAUAAAGGAAACACAAAGAAUUCAUGAAUAAAUUAUAUUUAAACUCUAAUUGUUAGAACAACAUAUAUUUACAAUUGUAUUGCACGCGUCAUUCUGACAGAACUGUCAAAGAGAAAGAUCACAGUGUGAACAGCAGUAACUCUGAAUAAAGCUUACAAGGCGAUUAUACUGUAUAUACAACAAUUAACAUGGCAAUCGUGUUCUCUGUUCGUGUUGUUCUGAUGUUUUCAGUAUUGCUACAUUCAGUCUCGACGACAAGAUUUCUACCUUCAAUGAUUUGGGAUAACGUCAGUCCACU